UGACCUCUGGCGGCGUGCCUAAUACAUGCCAGUCGAGCGAACAGACGAGGAGCUUGCUCCUCUGACGUUAGCGGCGGACGGGUGAGUAACACGUGGAUAACCUACCUAUAAGACUGGGAUAACUUCGGGAAACCGGAGCUAAUACCGGAUAAUAUAUUGAACCGCAUGGUUCAAUAGUGAAAGACGGUUUUGCUGUCACUUAUAGAUGGAUCCGCGCCGCAUUAGCUAGUUGGUAAGGUAACGGCUUACCAAGGCAACGAUGCGUAGCCGACCUGAGAGGGUGAUCGGCCACACUGGAACUGAGACACGGUCCAGACUCAUACGGGAGGCAGCAGUAGGGAAUCUUCCGCAAUGGGCGAAAGCCUGACGUAGCAACGCCGCGUGAGUGAUGAAGGUCUUCGGAUCGUAAAACUCUGUUAUUAGGGAAGAACAAAUGUGUAAGUAACUAUGCACGUCUUGACGGUACCUAAUCAGAAAGCCACGGCUAACUACGUG
rnacentral:rRNA from 1 species